rnacentral:snRNA from 1 species
GUGCUUGCUUCGGCAGCACAUAUACUAAAAUUGGAACGAUACAGAGAAGAUUACCACGGCCCCUACGCAAGGAUGACACGCAAAUUCGUGAAACGUUCCAUAUUUUU